UAGGGAAUAUUGGUAAUCUGCGAAAGCGGGAACCAGCAACGCCGCGUGUGCGAUGACGGCCUUCGGGUUGUAAAGCACUUUUUGAGGGGAUGAGGAAGGACAGUACCCUCAGAAUAAGCCUCGGCUAACUACGUGCCAGCAGCCGCGGUAACACGUAGGAGGCAAGCGUUAUUCGGAUUUACUGGGCGUAAAGAGCGUGUAGGAGGCAAUACAAGUUGGAUGUAAAAGCUCUCGGCUAAACUGAGAGAGGACGUUCAAGACUGUAGAGCUAGAGGAAGGCAGAGGUAGAUGGAACUCCGGGAGUAGUGGUGAAAUGCGUAGAUAUCGGGAGGAACACCAGUGGCGAAGGCGGCUUCCUGGCACAAUACUGACGCUCAUGUGCGAAAGCUAGGGCAGCGAACG
rnacentral:rRNA from 1 species